CUUCGUGUGUCAUGGGAAUGUUCGCCUCUAUAUUUCUCAAUCGAGAUAAUAUCGAAGGACUUAUCAUGGGAAGGAUGUGGCCAUAGAAAAAAAUUAAAGCACAGUAGCUUAUGAUAUACUUGAACCAAAAACAGAUUAGCUCUCGGAUCAGUCGAUGGUGCAUAUCUGAAAUUAACGGGACGCAAUUGGUAGGUGAGCGUGGUCCUUGGGUCGUUUUCUAGCGCUACCCAACAUAGCCCACCAUUGAGUUACUUCUUCGUUUUCCUUCCUGUUGGUCAUGGGAAUGUUCGUCGCGAUUUUGAGCUUUCGUUUAAUUCGAUCGUAACUGCAGAACUCAGAUUGGUUCUCAGGGAAAUCGGUGCUGCAAAUCUAAAAUUAACGGGACCCAAUUGCCAUUUCAUUUUUCGUCGUCCAGUAAUUGUCUUAGCAUUGAAAGAAUGAGGAGGUGCAUCCUAUAUAAAGGUCGCCUGAUUUUUCAAAGGCACAUCACACUCAAACGCCACAUUUCCAGGCCAUCUACCUCCAUCUUCCCUCUACUGAACUUCUCAGCCACAGUGAUUCCAGGUUGUGAGAAUGGCUUCUGCAGUAGUGCAUAGAUCCGUCCAAGGCGUACAGGCUCCCAGAAUCCUCACAUUGAAAGAAUUUCAACGGAAGAAUGGUAUAAAUUUCAAAUUCUCUCUAAUAUGCUAACAUGUUUUCUCUUUCCCCUUUCUCUUCGUUUAAAUCUCAUAUCCGCUUACUUUCUAAAUUUGUAAGUAAUUAGAUAGAACUAUGAUUAUGGGCUGUGUUAGAAAUAAUUAUUGUCUUCAUCGUGUGGUUUGAUUGAAUUGUACCAAGUGUUUUCAAAAAAUUGAUGGAAAAUUAGAAAUUUGCGUGUUUUAAAGGCAUACUAACAUUGGUAAAAGAAAGUGGGGAUGUGAAACCAAAAUAUUAUAAGAUCAGAUUCUUAAUUAGGAAUAAUGACUACCGUCUGGAAGUUAACAUGCUAAAAUCAAUUAGUAUUGGGUUAACACAUUUUAUAUCGACAUACAACAGAUAAUAAAGGAGAAGGACAGAUCUACGACAUAAAUAAUCGAUCUUUUUUUGAUUGUGAAACACUUUCAUAGUAUCUGGAGCACAUCUGUUCAGUUUAGCCUCAUUGUGUUCUCAAUUGUAAUCGAUAUAAUCAUUAUUAGUUAGCAGGGAAGAGUAUCCGGAAGGGCAAAAUUUUGCCAAACCGCACGAAGUGAGAGUGAAACUGGCUGAAGGUAAGAACCAGAAUACAAUGUUUCUCCGUUUAAGUAUGACAUCCUCUGGAUUCAUUGCUUCCUAUGUUUCAGAGAUACAAUAGCAGAUUAAUUCUAUCUUAUAAAUUCAUUCAAAGAAUCCCAUUUUUGUUAUCACAAACUUCUUAGUAUGUCUGUUUAUUUGUUAGAUACUACAAGAGUUCCUUGCAGAAAAUAACGAUUGAGGAAGAGCAUCAGAUCGUCGACUGUACCAAAUAACUGAUAGAGACAAUGAUGAUACAUUAUCUUCUGAAAAGAUGCUCAGAGCAUACAUGAAGAUGAGUUGAAUAUGAUGCAUUUGAGGUGACACUAAAUGGCAACAUACAUGGUGAUUACCAUGGCAAUGAAUAUGGACUUCAAAAAGCAAAAAGAAGUUUUCAGUAUUUGUAUCUUGCUGCCUGACGGUAGAUAUGUGUGUUUCAUCAAAAUUAGGAAUGGUUGUUGGACCUCGACGGCGAUCCAUUGUAGCAUAUGUAAACGUAGAUCCUCUAGGAUUGUAUUUGGCACGGUCAAUUCAUCGUGGCACGGUCCUUCAAGUAGAACUGCGGAUCUCUCUCUUACCUAAAUUGUUCAAAAUUAGCCCACAAGAGGAGGCAGUAAUGAACAGGAAAUUAAUGGCUAUUAUAUUUUUAGCAGCUUUAGGAUCUGGUAGGGAGCAUUGAUGUGCUGGAGUUGUAAUCCAGAUAGAAGGGAACUUGUGGUUCUGGCGUAUUGUAUAAAAGGAUGGUGCUGGAUCAAGUUAAAGACAUAUGCAGUGGUGUCGUUAACAAUUUGGUUUGGAAUAAGAGGUUACCUAUUAAAGCUUCCCUUGUAGCAUGGACAAUUUGUCAUAAUUCUUCGCCUUCAAGAGUGAAGCUUCAGCGUAUCAGGGAGUCCAAGUACUGUCUUAUCUAUGAUUAUUGUGUUCAACAAAAAUGGAAGAUACAAGUCGCAUACUGAUGCACUGUGAGUUGUAUAACUAUAUCUAGAAUUUCUUCAUUUUGUCUUUGGGAUUAAGUUGGGUGCUACCAAGGGAUGUUUAAACUCAGUCUGAAGUUGGUGCUCCAUUAAACUCCAGGGAAGACGUAGAACUAUUGGUCAGAAGGCUCUUUGUGCAGAGCUAUGGAAGAAGGAAGUACUAGAUUGUAUGUGAAGCAAGCAAAAAGAUAACUUAAUAUUGUCAGUAAGAGAGUCUCUUAUUCUAGGAGGCUCUAACGAAGACUCAUUUAGGGGAUACUCUGUUUGGCAAUUUAUUUUUAAUUGGGAGCAGACUGAAAUGAUGUAAUUUAAUUGGUUUUUCCUGUUUCUUGACGAGCACUGUUUUUCGUCCUUUAUAUAAAAAAGAUGUUCUUUAAUAUAUUACUUUUUAUUC